ensembl:lncRNA
GGCACACAUUACAAAAAAUUAUGACACUUCAGCCAUCUGCUAUUGUUCUCUUUCAGGUCAAGAGUGACCGUGCUGAUUAAGCUGGAUCUUCUAAACAUAUUUUUAGCUAACUGCCUCAACACAUCCGGUUUACUGACACAGGCAUCUGAAGGAAACUCUAUCGUCCCCUGGAGUACUGAGGGAAUUUGAGAGUGUGUGGAGGCCCGGGGCGAAGGCUGUCUCUGCACAUGAUCGUCCGCAACUAAUACAUCCCACAAGUGCACAUGAGUGUGAUGGAGCCCCUGCCCAUAUUACUGUGGAAACAGGUGCUUUCUGCAGCCCAGCAGAUGUCCCACAACGCUGCUGUGGAAACGGCCUCUCAAUAGCCAUGCACAGAAACAAUGCAUGAUGCCCUGCCAAGGUGGUCCGACUUCUGUUUAUCGUUGACGCAGAUCUGUAUGAGUCAGAUGAGAGUUGGCGUCCUCCGGCCAGCUCAAGGUGACAGAGACGCAUGGUCAUCGAUCCCUGUCUCGCCUCCUCUCUGUUAUCAAAAUGUAACAUCAUUAUCUCCUACCCUUUGACCCCUUCUGAUGGACACAGGUGACAGCAGUGCUUACAUCAGCACAGCGAGGUGAGGAGGGUCAUUAUUAUCACAUUAUUCUCAUCCUCUCAUCACCCAGGAGUCUGUCUGUGUGUGAUCGUGUCUGCUGGGAGUCCUGGUGUAGAUCAACACAUCUUCCAAUGCACUGUGGGUAAUAAGAAACUCUGCUGAUAUAUGAAUUUCCAAAAGAGAUUGUAUUGUGUUUUCGUUUUGCCAUAGAGAAACAGAGGAAAGGUUCGGGCUCCAACAGUCAUGUAUUUUUUCUGCUUCUUGCUAAGGUGAGAAUUACUAAUAUAACUAAUAUUACAAUUAUUUGAUGUAGCAAUUUAAACACAAAGCAAUAAUCUUUGUUUUGUAGCCCAUCCUAUACUGUUUUUGGUGCAAAUCAUGUGUCGAGUGUUUUUAGAGGCAAUUGGAUUUACAAUUUCCAGUUGGUGGAUGAUAAAAUGGGCCCAAAAAUCCCUAUGGAGGAACCCGGGCCCUGUCCAGAAACCAGAAAAUUAUGCACCCUAACAACUGCAUAGCAACGUGCUAAUGAAAAGACACAGCAAUCCGAACACCUCAUCAAUUGCAUAGCAACACCCUGACAACUAGCAUUUUACCAACAUAUUUUGCAUGGGCGAGCACAAAUGUUUUCCUCAGAAAACGUUAUUUACGGCAGUAUAACUGCAAUCCGUUUAUCUCUUUGUCACAUUAUGGUUACAGUUUCAGUAUGGUGCAUAAAUGAAACAUCUCAGAGGACAAAGGAGGAAAGAAUUAGUAAAUGGAUUAUACAUAUAAGGAAAUAAGCGUUUUCAUGCUGCAGCUGUGCUAAAUUGCCAGAUUGAUUAAGUUCUUUGUUGCUGUGAGUGAAUGAAAGUGCUCUCCCCUGGGAAUUAGUUACAAGACAACAUGUCAAAGGCAAGCUCUCUCCUCCCUGUAUUACACACACUGAGAUCCAGUCAGAACAGCUCAGGGCCAUUAUUCCCAGAGGGCCGCGG